rnacentral:lncRNA from 1 species
AGAAACGACUCCGACUUAGUCCGACACUCUCCAAAAGUGUCGACCAGUCACUAAAACUGAAGUCAAUCCUAUCCAAAGCUCAGAAACACUACAAUGAUCCAAGUAAACAGGAUCACACUAGCCUAACAACCAAACUCACGUGCCCUCGGCACAAUCUGAUGCAAAAAUAGCAAUCCGGAUCCACCGUCAACCUCAACGGCACCCAAUAGACCGGAACAAUCUAAACACUACUGUAAAAAUAAACUCGGCAUCCCAGCACGAGCGUAAAUAUAUUCUACACUAUCCUGUGUAUCCACCGCUCACAACCUGCGGUGAUACCAAUAAACUACGGCUCCUAGAGCUAAAUCUGGUAGUUUAAACAUAUGACGGUGUAGAAUCGUUAGUUUUCUCCCAAGUCAAAUUUCAGUUCAAUAUGUAUAUUUAACUAACAUUUAAGCUCCAAUUUCAGAUUCC